rnacentral:rRNA from 1 species
GUCUACGGCCAGGCCACCCUGAACAAGCCCGAUCUCAUUUGAUCUCGGAAGCUAAGCAAAGUCGGGCCUGGUUAGUACUUGGAUGGGAGACCACCUAGGAAGACCAGGUGCUGUAGGCG